rnacentral:RNase_P_RNA from 1 species
AAAGCAGGCAGAGAUGGUCGCCUCGAGAUUUUCUCGGGGAGGAAAGUCCGGGCUCCCGAGGGCAGCGUGCUGGACAAUCUCCAGGCUUAAGGGACCACAUUCCCUUGAGACGGAAAGUGCCACAGAAAAUAUACCGCCCCGCUAUUAGCGGGGUAAGGGUGAAAAGGUGGUGUAAGAGACCACCGCUCCAACGGUGACGUUGGAGGCAGGGCAAACCCCACGCGGAGCAAGACCAAAUAGGAGAGGAGCGAUGUGCCCGUCGCGUUAUUACUCUCGGGUAGGUCGCUAGAUUCCGACGGUAACGUCGGAACCAGAGGAAUGACCAUCGCAUACAGAACCCGGCUUAUCUGCCUGCUUUGAAA